rnacentral:rRNA from 1 species
UACGUAGGGGGCAAGCGUUGUUCGGAAUUACUGGGCGUAAAGGGCGCGUAGGCGGCACGGCAAGUCAGGAGUGAAAGCCCUGGGCUCAACCCGGGAACUGCUUUUGAAACUGCCGAGCUAGAGUGCGGAAGGGCAACUGGAAUUCCCAGUGUAGCGGUGAAAUGCGUAGAUAUUGGGAAGAACACCUGAGGCGAAGGCGGGUUGCUGGGCCGACACUGACGCUGAGGCGCGAAAGCCAGGGAGCGAA